CCCUUAGAUGUCCUGGGCUGCACGCGCGCUACACUGAUGUGUCCAGUAAGCACCUAACCUCUUCCGAAAGGAACGGGUAACCUUUGCAAAGCACAGCGUGAUGGGGAUAGAUUAUUGCAAUUAUUAGUCUUGAACGAGGAAUUCCUAGUAAGCACAAGUCAUCAGCUUGUGUUGAUUACGUCCCUGCCCUUUGUACACACCGCCCGUCGCUCCUACCGAUUGAAUGUUCCGGUGAGCUCUUCGGACUGCGCGGUCUGCAGUUUCUGCGUUCCGUGCGGAAAGUUGCGCAAACCUUAACAUUUAGAGGAAGGAGAAGUCGUAACA
rnacentral:rRNA from 1 species